UGGAUCAGUGAUGAUCAGUACCAGUAUAUGAGUCAUGGAUGAUGAAUAAUAUGUGUCUGGAACUCUGAGGUCCAA
rnacentral:snoRNA from 1 species